UACGUAGGUGGCAAGCGUUGUCCGGAUUUACUGGGCGUAAAGAGCGCGCAGGCGGUCGGAUAAGUCGAAUGUGAAAGCCCCCGGCUCAACUGGGGAGGGUCAUUCGAUACUGUUCGACUCGAAGGCAGGAGAGGGAAGUGGAAUUCCCGGUGUAGUGGUGAAAUGCGUAGAUAUCGGGAGGAACACCAGUGGCGAAGGCGACUACCUGGCCUGUUUCUUGACGCUGAGGCGCGAAAGCUAGGGGAGCAAACGGG
rnacentral:rRNA from 1 species